CUUGACUCCCAUAAGAGGUCCAGCCUGCCCAGUGACAUAAAGUUCAACGGCCGCGGUAACCUAACCGUGCAAAGGUAGCAUAAUCACUUGUUCUCUAAAUAGGGACUUGUAUCAACGGCAUCACGAGGGCUAUACUGUCUCCUUUCUCCAAUCAGUGAAACUGAUCUCCCCGUGAAGAAGCGGGGAUUUUUUUAUAAGACGAGAAGACCCCAUGGAGCUUUAAGCAACACAUUUACUUUUUAUCUUUUAUAUCAACUUAAUAAAAUACCUAAGUAUUAGCUUUAAGUUGGGGGGACUGCGGAGUAUAACCUAACCUCCACGACAAAUGGGCCACGCCCUUAUCCACGAGCCACAACUCUAAGAAUCAAUAAACUGAUGUUUAAUGAUCCGAUAAUUCGAUCAACGAACCA
rnacentral:rRNA from 1 species